GACGAACGCUGGCGGCGUGCUUAACACAUGCAAGUCGAACGGUGAACCAGAGCUUGCUCUGGGGAUCAGUGGCGAACGGGUGAGUAACACGUGGGCAACCUGCCCAGACUCUGGGAUAACCUCGGGAAACCGAUGCUAAUACCGGAUACGACCACUUCGGACAUCCGACGGUGGUGGAAAGUUUUCGGUCUGGGAUGGGCCCGCGGCCUAUCAGCUAGUUGGUGGGGUAAUGGCCUACCAAGGCGACGACGGGUAGCCGGCCUGAGAGGGCGACCGGCCACACUGGAACUGAGACACGGUCCAGACUCCUACGGGAGGCAGCAGUGGGGAAUAUUGCACAAUGGGCGAAAGCCUGAUGCAGCGACGCCGCGUGAGGGACGACGGCCUUCGGGUUGUAAACCGUCUUCUAGCAGGACGAAGCGAAAGUGACUGUACCUGCAGAAGAAGACACCGGCUAACUACGUGCCAGCAGCCGCGGUAAU
rnacentral:rRNA from 1 species